CUCAACUCGGGUAGGACUACCCGCUGAACUUAAGCAUAUCAAUAAGCGGAGGAAAAGAAACUAACAAGGAUUCCCCUAGUAACGGCGAGUGAAGCGGGAAGAGCUCAAAUUUUAAAUCUGGCGUCCUUCGGGCGUCCGAGUUGUAAUCUAGAGAAGCGUUUUCGCGCCGGACCUACCAUAAGUUACCUCGAACGGUGCAUCAUAGAGGGUGAGAAUCCCGUAUGUUGGUGGGUGCUCCGGUGCAUGUGAUGCGCUCUCGACGAGUCGAGUUGUUUGGGAAUGCAGCUCAAAACGGGAGGUAAAUUCCUUCUAAAGCUAAAUACGUUGGGAUGACCGAUAGCGAACAAGUACCGUGAGGGAAAGAUGAAAAGCACUUUGGAAAGAGAGUCAAACAGUACGUGAAAUUGUUGGUAGGGAAACGCUUGAAGUCAGUCGCGUCUUUUGGGACUCAGCCUCGCUUUUGCUUGGUGUAUUUCCCGAUCGAUGGGCCAGCAUCCGUUUCGUCCGCCGGAAAAGGGCAGUUUGAAUGUGGCACGGCUUCGGUCGUGUGUUAUAGCUUUCUGUCGUACACGGCGUCCGGGACGGAUCUAACGGCACGCUUUCAGCGGUGCCUGUGUUGGCGUAAUGGCUUUAAACGACCCGUCUUGAAACACGGACCAAGGAGUCUAUCUUGCGUGCGAGUCUUUGGGUGUCAAACCCGCAGGCGUAAUGAAAGUGAUAGUCGGGAAUCCUUACGGAGGCACCGACGCCCGUCGCAGAAGUUUACGGACGCUGACGAGGUAGAGCAUGUAGGAUGGGACCCGAAAGAUGGUGAACUAUGCCUGCAUAGGGUGAAGCCAAAGAAA
rnacentral:rRNA from 1 species